UCUGUAUGUGUGUGUGUCUCUGUAUGUAUGUGUCUGUAUGAUGCAGACACGUACAUACAGAGACACACACAUACAGACA